rnacentral:rRNA from 1 species
ACGCUCGACACCUACGGGAGGCGGCAGUGGGGGAAUAUUGCACAAUGGGGGGAAACCCUGAUGCAGCGACGCCGCGUGAAGGAAGAAGUAUUUCGGUAUGUAAACUUCUAUCAGCAGGGAAGAAACUGACGGUACCUGACUAAGAAGCACCGGCUAAAUACGUGCAGCAGGCCGCGGUAAUCUGAGGCGGGCUGGGCAACGGC